rnacentral:rRNA from 1 species
GUCCACGCCGUAACGAUGGGUGCUAGGUGUGGGCGGUGUCGACUCCGUCCGUGCCGAAGCUAACGCAUUAAGCACCCGCCUGGGGAGUACGGCCGCAAGGCUAAACUCAAGGAUUGACGGGCCGCACAAGCAGCGGAGCAUGUGGUUUAAUUCGACGCAACGCGAAGACCUUACCAGGGUUUGACAUGCACCGGAAGUCGUGGAACACGGCCCCCGCAAGGGUCGGUGCGCAGGUGGUGCAUGGGCUGUCGU